UAACGUUAACCGAGACAGUGAGAGGCUUUAGCACCACGGACAGCGCACAGACGCGCAUGCGCAACACGCUUCUGUGGAGCUUGUUGGACUUGUAUGAAGACGGAGUACAGGCUCUGUACACUCUCAGAAACGAAAAGCUACAGGCAUUGAAGAAUAAACUGAUUAACUGAAACGCAACUUCAACGAUGAAGAUUAUUAUAAAGCGAGGAGUUUUUCAUCAGAAACCAAAGCAACUUUCAACGGCGACAAGUUCGUGAAAGAGAGGUCAAACACACUCGCUAUUUUUGGACGAAGUAAAGGCUGGUGAUGAAUUCUCUCAACGUAACAAGUUUGAACUUUACUGAUAAGACUGGACAUGCUUUUCAAUACUCCUUUCCGAACGAGGACCCGAUGUUCAAAGACUACAAGCCAGUGACCCGCGACCUCAUUCCCUUGCCAAAGGGGGUUUUGUACCUGUUAAUGGCCGCGCUGGUGAUCGUCGCGGUCGCCUAUGCCAUAGUGGGACAUCUGAUCAAAGACCUCGCAAAUGAUAUAGUAGGUAAGAUAUCUCAAAAACUCACAGUAACUUGUGGUUAACCUGUUAGCUGUUCCAGUUUAUUUUGUACAACGGUAAAGCUUGGGAAAAUACCAUGGUAGUCUAAAGCAGAAAGACGGAAGGUAAGGUGAAGCUUGGCCACCUUAUAUGAUUCUUUACUGACAGUGUACGAUGGGCCAAGACCAAAGAAAACAUACAUGGACAAGAGUCGUGCACCAGAAAAAGACUUUGUGCAUGUUCGCUUCAUGCAAAUGUGACUUUUCAAAACAGAUUAUACUGUGCUAACUGAUAUUAUGAAUCUGAUGUCAUGACAACACGGUUUUAUCCAAAGUGACUUCCACUGCACACACACAUAUAUAUAUAUAUAUAUAUAUACACACACACACACACACGUUUAAUCAUUCGCAUUCCCUGGGAAUCAAACCUAUAACCAUGGCAUCACUAGAACUUCAUUGGAAGCCUCUUCUGUUUUAUUUUCCAAAGUUUUUGGACUCUGAAAGGUCACUUGGAAAUAUAUACUGUAUGAUGGACUGCUUGAGUCAUAUUACCUUUUCCUGUUGUGUAAGACGAUUUAUGGAAGCUCUGUUAUGAGCACUGGUGAACAUCAUUUCAACUCAUCCCCAAAAGGAGGAUUAAUGUGACAGAACUUGAGCUCAGAAUGACUCUGCAUUAUAUGUUCAGUUGGUAUUAAUGACAUAACUCACGUCUAGACUUUCCAUGCCAGCGCAAAUAAACCCAAAAUUCCUCCUCGGUGUCGGAUGGUCUCAAAGGAGCGUCUCUUUACGGGAGCCAGUCUCUUGGAAAUCAGAGAUGAGCGGGGCGAAGGAUAAAAA